GACGAACGCUGGCGGCGUGCUUAACACAUGCAAGUCGAGCGGAAAGGCCCUUCGGGGUACUCGAGCGGCGAACGGGUGAGUAACACGUGAGUAACCUGCCCCAGACUUUGGGAUAACCCUCGGAAACGGGGGCUAAUACCGGAUACGACACAGCUUCGCAUGGGGUCUGUGUGGAAAGUUUUUCGGUUUGGGAUGGGCUCGCGGCCUAUCAGCUUGUUGGUGGGGUGAUGGCCUACCAAGGCGACGACGGGUAGCCGGCCUGAGAGGGCGACCGGCCACACUGGGACUGAGACACGGCCCAGACUCCUACGGGAGGCAGCAGUGGAGAAUAUUGCACAAUGGGCGGAAGCCUGAUGCAGCGACGCCGCGUGAGGGAUGACGGCCUUAGGGUUGUAAACCUCUUUCAGCAGGGACGAAGCGUAAGUGACGGUACCUGCAGAAGAAGCGCCGGCCAACUACGUG
rnacentral:rRNA from 1 species